UACAGAGGUCUCAAGCGUUGUUCGGAUUCAUUGGGCGUAAAGGGUGCGUAGGUGGCGUCGUAAGUCGGGUGUGAAAUUUCGGAGCUUAACUCCGAAACUGCGUUCGAUACUGCGGUGCUUGAGGACUGGAGAGGAGACUGGAAUUUACGGUGUAGCAGUGAAAUGCGUAGAGAUCGUAAGGAAGACCAGUGGCGAAGGCGGGUCUCUGGACAGUUCCUGACACUGAGGCACGAAGGCCAGGGGAGCAAACGGG
rnacentral:rRNA from 1 species